rnacentral:rRNA from 1 species
UCCGUAGGGGGCAAGCGUUGUCCGGAUUUAUUGGGCGUAAAGAGCGUGUAGGCGGCUAGGUAGGUCCGUUGUGAAAACUCGAGGCUCAACCUCGAGACGUCGAUGGAAACCAUCUAGCUAGAGUCCGGAAGAGGAGAGUGGAAUUCCUGGUGUAGCGGUGAAAUGCGCAGAUAUCAGGAAGAACACCCGUGGCGAAGGCGGCUCUCUGGUACGUGACUGACGCUGAGACGCGAAAGCGUGGGGAGCGAACAGG